CGUCUGACGGUUGAUGUGUUAUUUCUGGCAGUAAGAGCUGACGAGUGUACGGGCGUAAUGCCGAGGAGGUGAAAUCUGCCCUCCUGGCUGCCCACCCUGGACUGACUGUGGUCCUCAACCCUGAGAAACCUCGCCGGAACAGCUUCGAGAUCACUCUGCUGGAUGGAGGCAAAGAAACAUCUCUGUGGACUGGAAUAAAAAAGGGUCCGCCUCGCAAGCUGAAAUUUCCUCAACCUGAUGUUGUAGUUGCUGCUCUGCAGGAGGUUCUGAAGAAUGAGUAGACGCCCAGUGAAGCCAAGAGUUGAGGAGAUGUGGCCCAUGAAAGCAGUAUGACGAGGAGAGACCAAUGAGACGUUCUCAGUCCCUCCUCUGAUGAGCCGAGCUUCAACGCUUACAUCUUCUGGAUACAUAGUGACACCCAGUGGAGCCUCUCUGAACUAGUACAUUUCUCAGAUGUUGUUUUGUUUGUUUUUUU